UCAGAGAAUAGUUUAAAAAAUAUUAGUUUUGGGAAUUAAAGAUAAAGAGAAUAAUUUCUUUUUCUCUGAA
rnacentral:tRNA from 1 species